rnacentral:lncRNA from 7 species
AGCAGAAGUCAGUGCAGCUGUAGUGUUUUGGAUCAACCAAGGAUAUGGCCUUAGAGUCUUCCUUUUCAGAAGAAAAAUACAAAUCUUGAUUCUUCUCUGCCAUAUGCUCUCUACAAAGCUGGUUCUUCAAAUGCUGGCUGAAGAAGGCAUCAGUGAUGUCAGUGAGUGCCUGGAAAACAAAACAAAACAUCUGGGAAGAUGAGGAGUGAAUGAAAUUUUAACUGAUAUUCUGUAAUUUCACAGGUCUUUUCCAUGAAGAACAAUGGAGAUUCAGAAAAGGAAGUACAAAGGACUAAAACUGUAAAAAAACCAGACUGUAGUUGGAGCAUUUUGUCUACGGAAGAGCUGCAAUCUAUAAAACAGAAAUCUGGAUGGAAUGUUAGCAAAUGAUUCUAAGGGAGCAAUCCCACACUGGGAAUUGUGCCAGAUGAUUGUCUAGUGUUCUCCAUCUGUUCCACCCCUCGUAAUGUAUUUCUCACUGACUGGUUUCAUUGACUCCCAGUAUAAGCUGAAGGAACGGCACGGAUGUGGGUGUAUUUGUAAAAAUGUUCCUGUGCUUUGUCAUAGGCCAUUUCUAUUCUUCAGUGCUAUUUUUUAUUUCAUUCUGUCAUGAAAUGAUAUGUCAAUGUGUCAUGAUUUUAUGAUUUUUGGUUACUGGCAUUCCACAUCAUAACAUCAUGUAGUGCACUGGGAGUUAAAGAGUUAAUGCUCCAGUUCUGGGCACCUGUCCGGAAGAGAAGAAGAACUACAUUCCCCAGAGGACUGCUGUUUUGUUAUCAUUCCUGCUUGGGGGAACGCAUUUAAGGCUUCAGUAUGUUACUUGAUGUCCCUCUUUUUGAUCGUCAGCUCUCUCACUGCUGCUCGUCCUGACUGCAUACCAUUCUUGUAAGGCCUUCAGCUUUUUCGGACACUUUUUCUCUCAUUAUAUUUGAUUUAUUAGCUUCUAUUCUAAUUAUACUGUUAUAUAGUGUGUUAUCUUGCAUUCCGAUACCAUAUUUAGUAAAUUAGUUUAUUUCUCC